AAAUCACUUGACCCCGGGAGGCGGAGGUUGCAGUGAGCCAAGAUCAUGCCACUGCAUUCCAGCCUGGGCAACAAGA
rnacentral:snRNA from 1 species